UACAUUUUAGUAUAUGUUGUAUAAAAACUUUUGAUGUUUUAGGGGUUAGUUUAAAUCUAGCAGGUGUAG
rnacentral:tRNA from 1 species